AUCAUGCUCCAUCACAAGUGACUAGAUAUAGUUCCCAGUGCUGUAUAGUAGGAUCUCGUUGCUUAUCCAUUCCAAAGGCAAUAGUUUGCAACUAUUAACCGCAGAUUCCCAGUCCAUCCCUCCCCCUCCCCCUUGGCAACCCCAAGUCUUUUUUCCAAGUCCAUGAGUUUCUUUUCUGUGGCAAGGUUCAUUUGUGCCAUAUAUUACAUUCCAGAUAGAAAUGAUAUCAUAUGGUAUUUGUCUUUCUCUUUCUGACUUACUUCACUUAGUAUGAGAGUCUCUAGUUCCAUCCAUGUUGCUGCAAAUGGCAUGAUUUUGUUCUUUUUUAUGGCUGAGUAGAUUCCAUUGUGUAUAUAUACCACAUCUUCCUAAUCCAUUCAUCUGUCAAUGGACAUUGAGGUUGUUUCCAUGUCUUGGCUAUUGUGAUAAUGCUGCAGUGAACAUAUGGGUGCGUGUGUCUUUUUCAAAGAAAGUUUUGUCUGGAUAUAUGCCCAAGAAUGGGAUUGCUGGGUCAUAUGAUAGUUCUAUGUAUAGUUUUCUAAGGUACCGCCAUACUGGUUUCCACAGUGGUUGUACCAAUUUACAUUCCCACCAACAGUGCAGGAGGGUUCCCUCUUCUCCACACCCUCUCCAGCAUUUGUUAUUUGUGGACUUAUUAAUGACGGCCAUUCUGACUGGUGUGAGGUAGUACCUCAGAGUAGUUUUGAUUUGCAUUUCUCUAAUAAUCAGUGAUGCUGAGCAUUUUUUCAUGUGCUUGUUGUCCAUCUGUGUAUCUUCUUUGGAGGAAUGUCUAUUCAGGUCUUUUGCCCAUUUUUCAAUUGGGCUGUUGGCGUUUUUGCUAUUGAGGUCUUUAAGUUGUUUGUAUAUUUUAGAGAUUAAGUUCUUGUCAGUUGCAUCAUUCAAAAUUACUUUCUCCCAUUCCAAAGGUUGUCUUUUUGGUUUUUUUUUAAUAGUUUCCUUUGCUAUGCAGAAGUUUGUCAGUUUGAUUAGGUCCUCUUGGUUUAUUUUUACUUUUAUUUUCUGUUGCUGUGGGAGACUGACCUGGGCAAACAUGUGUAAGGUGGAUGUGAAGCUGGUGUUUUGACUUACGGCCCUUGACAUAGUUUAGAGAUAGAGGACAUGACGAAAAUUAUCCUCUGUAACCAGUUAUGGUGUGAGCCAAGAAUAAAAGAUGCUCUUUGUUUUAGAAAAUCUGUUAAUAUAUUGUAUUAUCUCAGUAGGUCAGUAAGAAAAAAGUCAAUAAAAUUAAACCCUUAUUCCUGAAGGGAGUCGGGGGGAACUCUUAGAAAACCUGGCGUGCAGAAGAACUUUUAAAACUUAAAGACAGCUGUCUUAAACUAGUCAUUGAGUGAGGGCACCUUCUCUUCAUUCAUUAAAUAAUGUUCUGGAAGCUUCGAUGCUAGCAAUAAGACAUAGAACCGAAAACUGAUAUGCUGGUGAGAAACACAAAGAUUAAAAAAUUUCUCAUUUGUACAUGAUAGGUAUGUUUAUGAAUAUAAUCAUGAAAAAGCAAGACAGUCUUGAGAAAACAACAAAAAAAUCUCUAAGAAUUUAAGGAGUGUAUAAUAACAAAUGUUAAUAUUAAAAAUUUAAAAUAAAUGUACGGAGUUCCUGUUGUGGCUCAAUGGGUUAAUAGCCACAAGGAGGCGGAUUUGAUCCCUGGCCUCGCUCAAUGGGCUGAGGAUCCAGCCUUGCCAUGAGCUGUGGUGUAGGUUGCAGAUGUGGCUCGGAUCUGGUGUUGCUGUGGUUGUGGCGUAGGCUGGCAGCUGCAGCUCCAAUUAGACCCCUCACCUGGGAACUUCCAUAUUCGGCCCUAAAAAGAAAAAAAAAAA
rnacentral:lncRNA from 1 species